rnacentral:misc_RNA from 1 species
GAUGAAGAACGUAGCGAAAUGCGAUAAGUAAUGUGAAUUGCAGAAUUCAGAGAAUCAUCGAAUCUUUGAACGCACAUUGCGCCCCUUGGUAUUCCGAGGGGCAUGCCUGUUCGAGCGUCAUUAUCACCCCUCAAGCUUUGCUUGGUGUUGGGGCCUGCUGUAAUAGGCAGCCCUUAAAAUCAGUGGCGGUGCUUCAAGGCUCUAAGCGUAGUAAUUCUCCUCGCUAUAGUGUCUAGUGGUUGCCAGCCAGAACCCCCCAAUUUUCAUGAUUGACCUCGGAUCAGGUAGGGAUACCCGCUGAACUUAAGCAUAUCAAUAAGCGGAGGA